UAGUAAUCUCAUAGUAGUGGGCACUGAGUANCCCAUGCCGAACACAGCAGUUAAGCCCUAGAACGCCUGAUGUAGUUGGGGGUUGCCCCCUGUGAGAUAAGGUAGUCGCUUAGCU
rnacentral:rRNA from 1 species